rfam:Zootermopsis nevadensis contig27462, whole genome shotgun sequence.
GCCACGGUGGCCUAGCGGUUAGAACGCUGGCCUUGAAAUCCUGGGGUCUCGGGUUCGAUUCCCGGCGGUGCCC